rnacentral:rRNA from 1 species
GAUGAACGCUGGCGGCGUGCUUAAUACAUGCAAGUCGAGCGAAAGGACGCUACGUUUGCUUCUCUGAUGUUUGCCGAGGGGGUGAGUGUAACACGUGGAUCCUCUACCUAUAAGACUGGGAUCACUUCGGGAAACCGGAGCUAAUACCGGAGGAUAUUUUGAACCGCAUGGUUCAAAAGUGAAUGACGGUGUUGCUGUCACUUCUAGAUGGAUCCGCGCUGCAUUAGCUAGUUGGUAAUGUCAAGGGUUUCCAAGGCAACUAUGCGUAGCCGACCGGCGAGAGUGAUCGCCCACCUGGGAAGUGAGACACGGACCAGACGCCUACGAGAGGCCGCAGUAGGGAAUCUUACGCAAUGGGCGAAAGCCUGACGGAGCAACGGCGCGCGAGAUAUGAAGGCCUUCCGAUCGGAAAACUCUGUUAUUAGUGGUGAACAUAUGUGUAAGUAACUGAGCAGAUCGUGACGGUACCUAAUCAGGAAGCCACGGCUAACUACGUG